rnacentral:rRNA from 1 species
GACGGAGGAUGCAAGCGUUAUCCGGAAUUAUUGGGCGUAAAGCGUCCGCAGGUGGACAUACAAGUCUGCUGUCAAAGUGCAGAGCUUAACUCUGUAAAGGCGGUGGAAACUGUAGGUCUUGAGUAUGGUAGGGGUAGAGGGAAUUCCCGGUGUAGCGGUGAAAUGCGUAGAUAUCGGGAAGAACACCAGUGGCGAAAGCGCUCUACUGCGCCAUAACUGACACUGAGGGACGAAAGCUAGGGGAGCGAAAGGG